rnacentral:rRNA from 1 species
UACGGGGGGAGCAAGCGUUGUUCGGAUUUACUGGGCGUAAAGGGCGCGUAGGCGGCGUGGUAAGUCACUUGUGAAAUCUCCGGGCUUAACUCGGAACGGUCAAGUGAUACUGCUGUGCUAGAGUGCGGAAGGGGCAACUGGAAUUCUCGGUGUAGCGGUGAAAUGUGUUGAUAUCGGAAGGAACGCCGGUGGCGAAAGCGACACACUGGAUCUUGUCUGACGCUGAGGCACGAAAGCCAGGGGAGCGAACGGG